CGGAGCAUGCGGAGACGCCGGCAAACCGCGCGAGUGCUAAAGAAAAGCCGUUGGAUGUCGGCUCGUCAAAUUUUACCCAUUUUCGGCCGAAUUUUCGCCCUCGAGUCGGCCAGCAAGAAGCCAAGGAUGCAGGACAAGCUGUUUUAUCCGCAAAUAACCCCAGACCCGUGCCCGCGGCUUGCGUGACAACAAUGCAACUCGUGUUAUGCUGCUUAGCGGAUGAUACUAACGCCCUGAAACUUGCGACCCCUGGCCCUGGCAUUGUGAUAUUUUCUGGUCUGAAGGAGGUGACAUGCAAGGAGUCCAACCCGCCAAACCCUCGCUCCCUAACCUGAGCCACCUCCGACCCCCGUCAAAGCUGCUUGCCAGGUGGCCGCGCCGACAGCAGUCUAAGGUCGUGUUCGCUCUUAUGUAAAAGGUUCUCAAAGAAAAAUUUCCUCCUGUUGUCAAUAUUAUGUGUAAACGUUUUUAUGAAUUAUUAAACUUAGCACCUUGUACCUAAAACUUAAAUUGAUUUUCUCUCAAGCUAACCUCAUUUUUAGUGUAGGUUUUAGGCCACAUUUUCUGCAGGGAACUAAAACUUAGCGCGAAAAGGACAUCUUGGACUAGUUUCUGAACAAGAUUGAGACGAGACAAGAAAAACGUCCAUGAGCCAUCUUUUUCCUGUCUCGUCUCAAACUUUUCCUGACUUGUAAAAUAACGUCCUCCGUACGUCUUUUUUCCGUCUAUUUCGGUCAAGCUGAAAAUGAGCCCAAUCGUGGGUCAUUACUAGUCCCUAUGGGCCACUAAAGGCAUUUAGAAGGCCCAAAGAGGCUGUGGGGCCCAGCUGGGACGCGGGGGUCGAGCCGGGCCGCGUGGGCCGGGGUGUUCCGAAAUGGUCCCAAACUGGUCGGACUCGACUCGUCUCAAAUUUGACUCGUCCAUCAC